AGGAUGAUAGUUAAAUUCAUAACAUUUGAUUUGCAUUCAAAAAUAAUUAAAUAAAAUUAAUUUAUCUUA
rnacentral:tRNA from 1 species